UACGGAGGGUGCGAGCGUUGUCCGGAAUCAUUGGGCGUAAAGGGCGCGUAGGUGGCCCGGUCAGUUCGUGGUGAAAGCGCGGGGCUCAACCCUGCGUCGGCCAUGAAUACUGCCGCGGCUGGAGCACUGUAGAGGCAGGCGGAAUUCCUGGUGCAGCGGUGAAAUGCGCAGAUAUCAGGAAGAACACCCGUGGCGAAGGCGGCUCUCUGGGACGGUACUGACGCUGAGACGCGAAAGCGUGGGGAGCGAACAGG
rnacentral:rRNA from 1 species